AUAUUCAAUCAGGCAUAAAUUCUCCAGCUUUGUUCCCCAGUUCCUUUCCCAGCCAAACACUCUCACUUUCCUUCAUCCAUUACAAGUAGCCAAAUAAGCUGGCUGGGCCAAGGCACCCAUCAGACACUGCCCCUUGCCAACAUCCUCUGGUCAGAGCAGCCUUCAAGGACAACAAGUGAAUGAACUUCUUUAUGUGCUGUGGAGGAACUGCUGGAAAUGGUGCUGUUAGUGAUUAUAAGCAACGGAGAGCUGGAGUGGACUAUGAGGUCUGAAAUGGGCAGAGAGGAGAAAAUUAGUGGUUAACAUCCAGCCACACGUCCUGCCUCAAGGAACCUCCUCGAUAACAUGGCACCAUGCUCUCCAUUUCUGAUGGCUAAUAAAGAGUCUGCAAGAACAACUUGGCAGAAGAACACCCCACCAGCCCUGCUUUUUGUUCUGUCUGAUCCCAGCUGUUGCGCGUGAUGUUUUCAGAGCUGAAUGGAAGUCAUCUGGGGCAGACAGUUUCCCAGUUUUUUCAGAAUACAGAAUGGGGCAAAUGGAGCAUGUUUCAACUCUGCCCAACCUGGGUCCCUCAGAAUAAAGCGGUAAAGUGCCUGAUGAGUG